AUAAAAUUCUACUGUUCGCGAUAAAAAAUUUCAGUGUCGGGGGUGUUGAAAUUAUUGGGGGUUAUUAAAAUAAUGAUACUUAAAUAAGUGAUUUUUGGGAAGGAAAUUGAGGUAUGAUACUUAAACAAGUGAUUUUAAUGUCAUUAUCCUAGAUGCAGUACAAGGUCAUCACUUGAAAUGACCUGGUCAUCCUAGACAAGACAGAUGUUGGUUCUGAUAAGUUUAGAAACAUAAUUAGUCCCUGGAUCAUUUGUAUUCUAUAUUUAAGCUACAAUAAGAUUAAAUCACUUCUUCUAGUGAUUAAUUUGUACUACUUAAAUAGGUGAUUAUUAAAGAAAGACAACUCUUACUUCCAACUUUUAUGGAAAUAAUGUUACUUAAACCAGUGAUUUAGAAAAUCACUCAUUUAAGUAAGUCCCCUGACUGCCCAUCCGGAUUCGUAUUAUACUAUGCCCAAACAGUAAAAAUGGCUGGGAGCAGCACAAAUGUGCUACAAUUAAGGUUUUAAAAAAUGUUGGCACUAGGUGAAGUCAAUUUAAGCUUCUUUGUAGAGAUUAACACACUUUUGGGUACAAGAACCCAACCAAACAUGAUAUUGAACCGACUGCAAAUCUGACAGAGAACCUCGUGCCAAAAAAAAAACAAAAAAAAAUCCUGACCUACCGACAUUGAUUUAUUUGCCUUGGCAGCAGGAAACAGACAUAUAUUUUUUUUGCCUAACACUGUAUAUUCGAAGAACAAUUGAUACCUACUGUUCUCUACCAAAUAAAACAAUAAAUUUUAGUUGAAAAUUGUUUAUAUUUCAGAACCAAACGUUCUUUGUCAUCAAGUAGUUCUAGCAGUGAUGAUGAGCUGAUAUUAAGGGCGAAACGACGAGAAGAGGAAGAGAAGAAAUUGGAAUUAGAAAGACAAAGAUUACAGUUAGUUUCACCAUUUAUUUUAUUAUAAAAUCUUUAUUUUAAAAAAGCAUUUAACAGAUUAAUGUCAGUCAGGGGUACUACUUAGUCAAGUAAUUUUUAUUUACUUGAAAUACUUAUACAAGUGAAUUUUAUUUACUUGUAUAGGUAAAAAAAAAUGGCUUAGUUAUGUCCCUUAGAAAUUCAGAAUUUUUUACUUGUUAAGUACAAAAGUCAUCC
rnacentral:lncRNA from 1 species